rnacentral:rRNA from 1 species
UACAGAGGUCUCAAGCGUUGUUCGGAUUCAUUGGGCGUAAAGGGUGCGUAGGCGGCCGCGCAAGUCGGAUGUGAAAACCCGGGGCUCAACCCCGGGCGUGCAUUCGAUACUGCGUGGCUCGAGACAGGUAGGGGAGAUCGGAAUUCCUGGUGUAGCGGUGAAAUGCGCAGAUAUCAGGAGGAACACCGGUGGCGAAGGCGGAUCUCUGGGCCUGUUCUGACGCUGAGGCGCGAAAGCUAGGGGAGCGAACAGG